rnacentral:rRNA from 1 species
CACGUAGGGCGCAAGCGUUGUCCGGAAUUAUUGGGCGUAAAGAGCUCGUAGGCGGUCCGUCACGUCCGCUGUGAAAACCCAGGGCUCAACCCCUGGGGCUUGCAGUGGAUACGGGGCAGACUAGAGGUAGGUAGGGGAGAAUGGAAUUCCCGGUGUAGCGGUGAAAUGCGCAGAUAUCGGGAGGAACACCGGUGGCGAAGGCGGUUCUCUGGGCCUUACCUGACGCUGAGGAGCGAAAGCGUGGGGAGCGAACAGG